rnacentral:lncRNA from 7 species
AAGAAAAGAGAGAGGAGGAAAAAAAAAAAGCCUUGCAAAUGCUAAAGGACAUAAAGGGUGUUCAUGAAAGGGUUGGAUGGUGGUUAUUGCAGCAGGGGGAAAAACAACAUUAUUUCACUGUGCAGAUAAAAGGAGGGGGAAAAGCAGCAUAUUUAUAGCUAGGGAGCCUGGAUUCCUUGUUAAGCCGCUAUUAUCAAAUUAAUGUCAAAAUGCAUCAAACAGGCAUGAGUGUUCUGGGCCCCUUAUGCAAAGUGCUUGCAAAUUGGUUACAAAUACAUUUGUUUACAGGGUACGAGGCAGGAGCGAGCUAAUUAGUCAUUGUAGCGGGUUGUUUUGUCUAUUUUUUUUUUUUAAUUAUUUUUUUGGCAAUUACAGACAGGCUGUUUUGAAGCACAACCAGAGCCCCUUUAAAAGCACACCGAGUGCAUCCCGAACCCGGGAGGGGAUUCCAGCCCUCCCCACCGUUGGCUGUGCAGGCCGUGCCCUGCUGGCUCCUUGCUGGUGGCCCUCAGGUAGUCCCAGUGCCUCCAAUGCUGUGUCCCCACGGGGCUGCUCUCUGUGCUCCGGUCCUCGCUGUGUCCGCACCCUGCGCUACUGAUGGACGCCUCUUGUGCCACGAUGAGCACUGGGCCCAGGACAGCCCUUCCCUGCUCAAGGAACUGAAAAUACACCGAGGAAGUCCGGCGUGAGGGCGGUUGUUGCAGACACCCGUGGACCAGAGACGGAGCAUCGCUGCACCCCAGGAUGUGCCCAACUCUCAGCAGAGCUCUAGGAGAUCCAACCGCAGCAUUCUUUGCCAUUAUUAUCACAUAAACCACGAGAAACUCCCAAAC